UUAGUUUUUAGUAAUAUUAGUUUUUUCUUAAUUGCAUUUAAUUACUCACUUUUACCAAUUCUUUUAUUCUUUCUCUUGUGUAAAUGUUGUUAAAGUCUUCUCCUAAAAGCUUGUCUAAAAGUUUGCCAAGAGGGUAUGAAAUUGGAAAUGUAAGAAUCAUAAAUGCCUUGGUGAUGUAAAUCGUGUUUGCACCGAUUGCCAGAUUGUACCUCGGGACAAUGGUGCAUGGUAUAAUUUCACAGCACAGGACGAUGAUGAUAGUCGAGAUAAAGACGAGUCGAGCCGAUUACCAGGCUGAUGAGCAAGAAGUUGCCCUGUGACCUCACCUCGAGGAUUGUCUUCCCAUAACGUUUCUCCUUCUCGCUACCUGCAUUGGCGAUUACUUUCAAACCUGUGAUGUCUAUAGUCAUCAAUCCUAAUGCAAGCCCGUUCAGGAUGGAUGACAAGGCAAUGCACAAAAGGAUCAGGAAUAUGGACACACCCAUCUGGAUGAAAGGCUUGACGACGAGCACCUCAUUCCAACUAGUAUUCUCUUGUUCCUUCCAGUGCAUGCCAUCAAAAAGACAAAAAUAAAACACUUCCACCCUUUUAGUGACAUAUGGCAUUGUCAUUCUAAAUGUUCCCACAGCAUCAGAAUGUAGAUUCACCUGGCAAAAAUUAAUCAAGGAUGGAAAUAUGCACACUAGUUAUUAAAAGAAUAUUUACAUUGGCUAUUGAAUUUGGAGAAACAGAGCAGCCCAAGAUAGUUGCUGGUGAUAAAGUGACUCUCCGCAAGCCAGUCAAAUUUCCAUAAAUUCUAAAGUCUACCACGGAAUUAAUUUCAAGCUCCGGCUUCAGUCCAUCGCCAUAAGUCAGCACAGAUGAGGAGAUGUACUGUUCGAUUACAUAUCCAUGAAUCUGAAUCCCUUGGACAUACUGUGACCUGUUACAA